UGUCCAGGGAUGGGAAUCGAACCCACAGUGUUCCGCUUACCGGGCAAAUGCCAUGUCCACUAGGCUACCCUGUAC
rnacentral:tRNA from 1 species